rnacentral:tRNA from 2 species
GUGGGCGUAGCUCAGCUGGUUAGAGCGCCGCGCUGUGGCCGCGGAGGUCACGGGUUCAAGUCCCGCCGUCCACCCCA